GGAGCCGCAGGAGGUGAACAGUGGCUUCCUGCCCUGCUCUUCGCCCCGAAGGGCCCGUGGCUGCUCUGCAUGCCCACCCUUGGCUGGAGCCUGCCUGCUGCCAGGUAUCUUUGGCCUGCGGUCACUGUGUGUGUGCGUUGUAUAAAGAAAACCCCUCAGCAGUUACCUCGUUCAGGCAGUGUGAAGGCCUAGCUACAGGGGGGUGAUGCGAUACCAUGUUUUUCUUUGUCCUGUAAUAAAGGUAACUCGUCCAUCACUACUUCAUAUGAGCAGUAUGUGUGUGAGGAUUAAUUUCAGCUUUUCCCUGGUUUAGUAUAAGCUUGUACGUGUUUAAGCAGUGGAAAUGCGGCACAUCUGUCUCUUGGUCGUAUGGCAGUCAGCGCCCUGCAGCGGAGCAGCUCUCCAGGGUGUCAGUGCCUCGCCAACACACUGUUGAAGAGAGCAAACUACUGGAAACUGAGGUGUUUUGCAAUUGUGGAAUAUCCUGCCUCCUAGGAUCAAGCACAUUGCUGGAGCAGCAUAGUGAGUUACACUGCGAAUGAACAAACUGAUGUGAUCAGCUACUGAAUGAGAAGCAACUUAACUCCACAACCACUUUCUAGCCAGGAACACCUGAAUGAUGGAUUGAAUACUGUUAUCCACUGGCUGGCUGCAAGAAAACCUAUUCAACUUACAUUUCUUUAAGGUCCCUUUACACAGGAAAAAAUAACAGGCAAAGUCACACCAAUCACCAUGUUCUCCAGGGUUUAGAUUGUGCUGCGGAAGGCUGACAUCAUUUGCCGAUUCAUUUUAUCAGCCAGAACAAGUACAUAAAAACUCAACCAAAAAAAGGGAAAUGGAAAUGGGAAGACUGGGUGAAAAAAACCUGUGCUCAGGAAGAAUCUGAAGUUGAGGUUUGUCUUGUGCAGAUGAGCAAGAAAGGCAAACCCCUAGAAGAAAUAUCACCCUUUUAUGGUUAGAAGUCUUCUGUUUCCAAGCAGUAUUAAUGUAUAAGCAAGUUUAUACCCAUUUAUUGUUGUCUUGAAUUCUUCCUUUAAAUAGUUUUUUCUCCUCCAUGAUGAUUAACUACUUUCUUCCCACCAAGGAAAUACAACGUCCUU